rnacentral:rRNA from 1 species
GUGGGGAAUAUUGGGCAAUGGGCGCAAGCCUGACCCAGCAACGCCGCGUGAAGGAAGAAGGCUUUCGGGUUGUAAACUUCUUUUAUGAGGGACGAAUAGAUGACGGUACCUCAUGAAUAAGCCACGGCUAACUACGUGCCAGCAGCCGCGGUAAUACGUAGGUGGCAAGCGUUAUCCGGAUUUACUGGGUGUAAAGGGCGUGUAGGCGGGACUGCAAGUCAGAUGUGAAAUUCCAGGGCUCAACCCUGGACCUGCAUUUGAAACUGUGGUUCUGGAGUGAUGGAGAGGCAGGCGGAAUUCCCUGUGUAGCGGUGAAAUGCGUAGAUAUAGGGAGGAACACCAGUGGCGAAGGCGGCCUGCUGGACAUUAACUGACGCUGAGGCGCGAAAGCGUGGGGAGCAAACAGGAUUAGAAACCCGUGUAGUCC